rnacentral:rRNA from 1 species
GAUGAACGCUGGCGGCGUGCCUAAUACAUGCAAGUCGAGCGAACAGACGAGGAGCUUGCUCCUCUGACGUUAGCGGCGGACGGGUGAGUAACACGUGGAUAACCUACCUAUAAGACUGGGAUAACUUCGGGAAACCGGAGCUAAUACCGGAUAAUAUAUUGAACCGCAUGGUUCAAUAGUGAAAGACGGUUUUGCUGUCACUUAUAGAUGGAUCCGCGCCGCAUUAGCUAGUUGGUAAGGUAACGGCUUACCAAGGCAACGAUGCGUAGCCGACCUGAGAGGGGGAUCGGCCACACUGGAACUGAGACACGGUCCAGCCCCCUCCGGGAGGCACCAGUAGGGAAUCUUCCGCAAUGGGCGAAAGCCUGACGGAGCAACGCCGCGGGAGUGAUGAAGGUCUUCGGAUCGUAAAACUCUUUUAUUAGGGAAGAACAAAUGUGUAAGUAACUAUGCACGUCUUGACGGUACCUAAUCAGAAAGCCACGGCUAACUACGUG